rnacentral:rRNA from 1 species
UACGAAGGGGGCUAGCGUUGCUCGGAAUUACUGGGCGUAAAGGGAGCGUAGGCGGACAGUUUAGUCAGAGGUGAAAGCCCAGGGCUCAACCCUGGAAUUGCCUUUGAUACUGACUGUCUUGAGUGUGGGAGAGGUGUGUGGAACUCCGAGUGUAGAGGUGAAAUUCGUAGAUAUUCGGAAGAACACCAGUGGCGAAAGGCGACACACUGGCCCAUUACUGACCGCUGAGGCUCGAAAGCGUGGGGGAGCAAACAGG